rnacentral:tRNA from 2 species
UGUGCUAUAGCUCAGUUGGCAGAGCGACCGCCUGUUAAGCGGUUGGUCCCUGGUUCGAGCCCAGGUAGCACAG